UCCAGCAGCCAUAUCACCCUGUAACUCACAACUAGCAACUCCCUGAAGCUAAGCAGGUGAGAGACUGGUCGUUACCUGGAUAGGAGACCUCCUGGGAAAAACUUACUUUGCUGCUGGAA
rnacentral:rRNA from 1 species